rfam:[Bacillus] aminovorans strain DSM 1314 DSM1314_contig_1, whole genome shotgun sequence.
GCGGAAGUAGUUCAGUGGUAGAACAUCACCUUGCCAAGGUGGGGGUCGCGAGUUCGAACCUCGUCUUCCGCU